GCAUUUGUUUUUGGUUAUCUAGACCAGAUGAUAACAUGUCAGGCGUAGAUGAAUUGCUUUGUACAGGAGUAGUUGAUCCAAUGGACAAAAGAUCUAGUAGAACAUCUGUGCCAGCUUUGGAAGCCUGGUUUGUGCCUGAUUGUGCUGAAGCUGGUGCUAAAUCAACACCAAGAAGAUCGUGAAGAAAGUUGCCAUCAGAAGAGCUUGGUGCAGGAGCAUCAUCUGAAAGAUCAAGUAAAUCUACAAG
rnacentral:misc_RNA from 1 species